GACGAACGCUGGCGGCGUGCCUAAUACAUGCAAGUCGAGCGAGCGGAACCAACAGAUUUACUUCGGUAAUGACGUUGGGAAAGCGAGCGGCGGAUGGGUGAGUAACACGUGGGGAACCUGCCCCUAAGUCUGGGAUACCAUUUGGAAACAGGUGCUAAUACCGGAUAAUAAAGCAGAUCGCGUGAUCAGCUUUUGAAAGGCGGCGUAAGCUGUCGCUAAGGGAUGGCCCCGCGGUGCAUUAGCUAGUUGGUAAGGUAACGGCUUACCAAGGCGACGAUGCAUAGCCGAGUUGAGAGACUGAUCGGCCACAUUGGGACUGAGACACGGCCCAAACUCCUACGGGAGGCAGCAGUAGGGAAUCUUCCACAAUGGACGCAAGUCUGAUGGAGCAACGCCGCGUGAGUGAAGAAGGUUUUCGGAUCGUAAAGCUCUGUUGUUGGUGAAGAAGGAUAGAGGUAGUAACUGGCCUUUAUUUGACGGUAAUCAACCAGAAAGUCACGGCUAACUAC
rnacentral:rRNA from 1 species